rnacentral:rRNA from 1 species
UACGGAGGGUGCAAGCGUUAUCCGGAUUCACUGGGUUUAAAGGGAGCGUAGGCGGACUCUUAAGUCGGUGGUGAAAUCCUGGAGCUCAACUCCAGAACUGCCUUCGAUACUGAGAGUCUCGAGUCCGGGAGAGGUGAGUGGAACUGCGAGUGUAGAGGUGAAAUUCGUAGAUAUUCGCAAGAACACCAGUGGCGAAGGCGGCUCACUGGCCCGGUACUGACGCUGAGGUGCGAAAGCGUGGGGAGCAAACAGG